AAAUCUAAGCACCUAAAGUUUAAACCUGAUUAUAUGCGUAAAAAAUCUUUUGUACUUAUAAUUAUUUAAAGGGGAAACUUCAAAUACCACUCCUGUGGUUUUACACUUUCUCACUUUAAUGUCCUGUGGUUUAAAGUGUAUUAAUUUAGUGCCAUGUGAUUUUCUUUUUAUCUUUUUACGUACUAUUGAUUCCACUAUUUUUUUUUCGUUAAAUUAGUGACAAAGUUAAAACUAAAGGAUACUAAAGUGAAUGUUCGAUAAAUCUAGGUGAGGUAUCUGAAGUUUUUUGUAUAUAAUUUAACGAAAUAUUAACGGAAAAGCUGGCGAAAAGAUAAAAAUAAAACCACAGGACGCUAACUUGAUACACUUUAAACCACAAGGCACUAAAGUGAGAAAGUGUGAAACCACAUGAAUGAUAUUUGAAGUUUACCCUUAUUUGAAUGCAGAACAAUUCUUAGCAAGCUGAGCAUGGUUUCAAUGAGAAAAAUUGUUUUGUAAGCUG
rnacentral:lncRNA from 1 species